GGUGAGGUCUGGGGGGUGCUCUGAUUUCCAGCACACUGUGGGAGACAGGAAUCAGAUUCCUCAUCUCAGCUCCGACUCCCAGUGGCUGUGAAACUGUAUGAGCCUGAAAAUGCUCCGCCAAGAAUUCUAAUGAGAAACAGAUUUCCUCUGGCUCAGCCUGUCCUUCACCUGCAGACUUCUAAGCAGAGAUACUGCUGUCCACUCCUGCCGAGAGUCCAAGGGGGGUUUGUUUUAAAUUCUCUUCUGCAGCAAUUGGAGCUUUGAACGUUUGAGAACACAUUUCAGAUUUCUCUUCUUUUAUACUUUAGCCAAAAAGCACGGGGUCAAAAUAUGAAAGGAAGCAAACACAGUCAUUUGGUGGAGGGUUGGGGCUAAUCACCCCGAAGUCCUGGUCGUUCAUCAGCAAGCCCUUAAGUUGAAAGUGCAGGGAUCCCAGUUUGCACGGAGAAAUGUUUGUUCUGUCGUGUGAAUGUUCCUGUUUGUGGUCCCACCCACAGACUCCAGCGUGGGUCAAUGACUCUAUUGUGAAGCAAAGAAAGCCAAAGCAAGACCUUAGCCAGAAAGAUGUGAAAGUGGGUUUUGUCCCUUUAACCUGAAACAGACGUUAUGAAAGAGAUUAGUCAACCUCUACUAUGUGGGCUCAGGAAAUGUCCUGAAUUUUCAUAGCUUUGGAGAGUUCUAAGACAAACAUGGUCUCUGCUUUUGCCCUCGCGGUCAGAACCCCAAGCCUGCCUGGCCCCCUGCAGCCCUGCCAUUGUCUCUCACAGCCCCGUCUCUGUCUGUCUUGUUUGCUCUGCUUCCCACAGGCUUUGCCUGCUCAGUCCACAGGGUGGAGGGAGGGUGGGGGCAUUUCUUCCAGCAACCCAGCGCAGACCCUCGACUCCCCCUGGGUUUACACAUCAUUGUGGAAAGAGCGUUCUUUUCAUUUCCUAUGUCAUCCUGUCUCAAAAAAAAAUCCUUAUUUCUUAAAAGCGUCCCUUCCUAUGAGCAAUCAGGAUGGAGGUUUGCUAAAACAUACUUUGGCUUGUGGCUGGGCAUGGUGGCUCACACCUAUAAUCCCAGCACUUUGGGAGGCCGAGGUGGGCAGAUCACCUGAGGUCAGGAGUUCAAGACCAGCCUGGUCAACAUGAUGAAACCCCGUCUGUACUAACAAUACAAAAAUUAACUGGGCAUGGUGGCUCAGGCCUGUAAUCCUAGCUACUAGGAAGGAUGAGGCAGGAGAAUCGCUUGAACCCAGGAGGUGAAGGUUGCAAUGAGUCGA
rnacentral:lncRNA from 1 species